AGCAUGCCUAGUACGGCGAGUGAGCGGCAACAGCUCAAUUUGAAAUCUGGCUCUUUUAGAGUCCGAGUUGUAAUUUGCAGAGGGCGCUUUGGCUUUGGCAGCGGUCCAAGUUCCUUGGAACAGGACGUCACAGAGGGUGAGAAUCCCGUACGUGGUCGCUGGCUAUUGCCGUGUAAAGCCCCUUCGACGAGUCGAGUUGUUUGGGAAUGCAGCUCUAAAUGGGAGGUACAUUUCUUCUAAAGCUAAAUAUUGGCCAGAGACCGAUAGCGCACAAGUAGAGUGAUCGAAAGAUGAAAAGCACUUUGGAAAGAGAGUCAAACAGCACGUGAAAUUGUUGAAAGGGAAGCGCUUGCAGCCAGACUUGCUUACAGUUGCUCAUCCGGGUUCUUACCCGGUGCACUCUUCUGUAGGCAGGCCAGCAUCAGUUUGGGCGGUAGGAUAAAGGUCUCUGUCACGUACCUCCUUUCGGGGAGGCCUUAUAGGGGAGACGACAUACUACCAGCCUGGACUGAGGUCCGCGCAUCUGCUAGGAUGCUGGCGUAAUGGCUGUAAGCGGCCCGUCUUGAACCACCGGACCGA
rnacentral:rRNA from 1 species